AAUCUUUUGACACCCAACCAUUUGAUAAAUUAUGCAUUAAAAUGACCUAGUAUUUUAGAAAAAUUAUUUGGUCCAAUUUUGCAACAAAUAUCUGGUAGGUCCUUCACAAAAAACCCGAUUAUUGGCACUCCAAAAAUUGUAAAAUGAUUUUUUGUGCAAAGAAAAUGAAAACCCCUCAAAUCAACAUUGUUUGUUGUCCCAAGAUACACACUUGUGCAAAAUAUUGGGUCAUUUGAAAAACUAUAAGCGGUAAUAUGUUGAAUGUUUACCCAGAAUAAGAGGGUACAAAAUAUAAAAAAACAGAAGAAAAAACAAAACUACGCAAGGUGAAUUAUGAUUGGUGGAAUCUGUUGUGGCAUGGAUCAAUUGAUACAGCCCACUGCAGAAAGCAUCCGUCGAUCGAUCCAUUCAUCCAGCCUCUCUCCCUCUUGCCCGAACCCUAGAGCUCCGCUCCUCCUUGCCGCUGCCACCUCCACCUCCCUCUCCCCGAUCCAGACCCAGCCACCACCCAUGGCGCCAGCCAGAGCAGCCACCGGCGAGGCUAGAGGCCACCGGAUCCGGGAUCAGGGCGGCGCAUAGCCCCUCCUCCCGUGAGAUCCGGGACACAGUCGCCCAUCUGGAUCAAGCAGCUCCUCUGGACGCUGCACCAUCUCCACCGUCCGGAUUUGGUGCUCCUCGCGCGACCCACCCCCCAGCACGCGUCUCCACCGUCUCUUCCCCGACGUCCUUGGCGAGGGAAUGAAUAGGAGCUCCGGCCAAGGCCAUGGACGCCACCAGCAGAAGCUCCGCCUCGGAUCUUGCGACCUCGUUGACCGGAUCCAGCAGGUCCCUGCCACUGUGUCAAGAUCCUCCCCUCCCUCCUAGAGAGGCCCUCUCUCCCACACGCUCUGCAUCCGCUACGGCCGUUGCAGCUUCCACCUCCAGAAGAGCACCUGCUCCUCGUGCGGUUACCCGGCCGCCCGCAUCCGCAAGUAGAGAUCGACGAUCGGCUGGGCAGUGUUAGCGCUAAACCUUCAUGCGUACUCACUCUGCUGCAAGCUUUAAUAAUCUUGAUUGAUGCAGACGCCACUGUAUGCAUGCGAAUUUUCAUUUGCAGAUGCUUUCACUUCACCCUUUUCUUUUCGUUUCUUUUCUCUCGAAACAAGGAAAGGAUUUAUUCUAACGGCCAUCUCUAUUUUAGCCUUUUAGGACUCUUAUUAAUUAACAUGCCUACUCUUCUCUGUGGUUUAAGGCCAGUCAAUUCACACUGCAUACAUGCAUAGCUAGCUUCCUCAUCUCCAGUCAAUGAGUUUGCCUUGAUUCGGGUCUUCUCUUCUCCUGGUGAUCAAAAUCAACACCGCACCCUUCCGUUCCUAUCUUAUUUACUAGUUCCCUUUCGUUUCUGUUCCUGCCAUAAUUAGUGUGGUAAACUGGUAAUCAGCUAGCUCGGUGGUCACCAGAGUACGUACUAUUUUAUUUACUAGUACUUUGCCUUGGAUUGUAAUGUGGAUCAGGAGAUGAACUGUAUAUUUUGUUUGUGUCAUGCAUGGCUGUGUCAUACAUGUAUUGACUGAACUUGACAAAAUGUGCAAUUUGAAUCUAGUACUUCUUCCAUUUCUGCUUUCCCCCAACCGUCCAUAAGAUUUAUCUAGGGUUUAAGCUAUUUUGUUUAGUUUGCUUGCGCUGCCUGAAAUGAUGCACCAAUUCUGUAUCUUAUCCUUGUGCUGGAUGGUGGACCUGUCAACGUAUUGACUUGAGUGACGACAGAUGCGGUAUUGUUUAGAUGGGUGGUUUGAAUAGUUCGUCCAGAGAAAAUUGUUUAUAGAAUAGAGAUUUGGCGAAAUAUGGUGCUUGUUUAUUGAUGUGAUAGAUACAUCCAAGACAAUUAUUGUGGCUUCAUCAGUGGGGUGUGUUUUUGUUUCGUUCAAUGUCUGAUCUGGUUAUAAACAUAACCACAUGACGUAUUUAGAUGGGUGUAUUUAGUGGGGUGUAUUUAGACGGGUGUAUAUAAAAAUGAUUUGAUCUUCUCUUCCUUGGUUUCCUGAUGCGCUCCUAUUCCACAACCACAGGGAUGGCACAUCGAUUGGGGACGAGCAGGAUGGGGCCAACAAGCCUAGGAGGAGGAGGAGCUCCAUCCGCAGCAGCUCAUGCUCAUGGAGGAACAAUUCUGAAUCGUUGUUGUUACUCUGCUGUCCUGGAGUCGCCAUCCACAGCAGCCGUGGUGUGGCUGAGCCUCUGCUACGGCUACAACCUCCCUCUGGUGAGCUCCUCCCUGUUCCUUCUUCUCUGAUGUAGCUCCUACAUGGCCUUGGCCAUGAUUUGGGUUGGAUGUGGGGCUCUAGUAGUUGCUGCUAGAUGUUGUAACCAAGCAUCAACUCCUACUGGAGCUCUCUGGUGAUAAAUUCAUGCGAUUCUAGGGUCUGUCAGUAGCUGCCCAUGUGUACUUGCUUUAUAUAUGUGCUCCUAUGAUGCUUUGGUGAUAUGGGGUGGCUAAUAUCAAGAUCAUGUUCGUGUUGAUGCUUAUCUUGCGUGUCUCUGGUGGUGGUGGUGUUGACAGCAGUUACACACCUAGCUUGUAACUAAUAUCAGUACUGCUAAUUUACCUCAAGUUUAUCUAAACAUGGUUGAAAUGAGCGCUGCAAAUUUUGAUGUCUAAAAUCAAUUUUUACCCCAAGUCCUUAAGUAAUUAUUUUCAUUACGUCAUAGUUAGUUGAGAAUAUUGACUUGAAUAUUUUAUGUAUGCCCUGAUGCAUGUACACAUACAGUUGAGCAAAUACCGAGCUGCAGUGGAACAACCUGGAGUUAGAGAACUUCAAGGAAAAGAUCAACGAGGUGACCGGCGUUAUGGAGGCUGUGUACGGUGGCGACCACAAGUUCUUCGAUGCUGGGCUUUCAUGUUUCUUUGUGAGCAUCAGGACAAAGAAGUCGGAGGAAGAAUAGUUCUAGCUCAUUGGAGCUAGUUCUGAGAGUAAUGAAGCCCUUUCUGCUGCUCCUAUUUGUAUGUGUGUUAUAUGAUGUAGCAGAAUCUGGCUCAUGUGAUUGUACACUUGUGGAGCUUGUUAUCUGAUUGUAAACUUGAUGCUGAUCACAUUUGUAUGUGUGUUAUAUGAUGUAA